AAAGAGCAUGAUCACCAAUUCAAAGUGUGGAUUCAAGAAGUUCGCACAGAAGCUUAUGCCAUUGAGGAUGUUCUUGACCUAUUCAGACUCCACCGGGAUCAAGAAUCAGUGUGGAGCCACUUGAAAAUGCGGCACUCCAUUGGCAACCUGAUACAGGAUAUUAACACAAGGCUCGUGAUCAUUAAGCAGACAAAGGAGAGGUAUCAGAUCAUGGUCUCCACUUCAAUUAGCGCUGAAACCAACGCAUACCUUAAUGUGAGAGUAGCUCCUUUGAUCAUCGGCAGGGGCGAUAACAUCCUGGGCAUCGAUGAGCCUAAAAGGAAGCUGGUUUCUUGGGCAUUGGAGUCGAAUCAGAAACUCAAGGUUAUGUUCGUGGUGGGGAUGGCUGGACUGGGGAAGACAACGCUCGCCCGCAGCGUGUACGAGAUGGUGAAGGAGCACUUUGAUUGCCAUGCCUGGAUCAUUGCUUCAAAGUCCAAAACCAAACCUGAAACUUUACGGAGCUUGUUGGAGCACCUUGGCUGUUCGACAGAGGGGUCCAACAUAGUUAUUCUGAUGCAUAGACUGCAAAAUUUUCUCCAGCCCAAACGGUAUGUUAUAGUUGUUGACGAUUUAUGGGUAAAAGAUGUGUGGGAAUCCAUUAGACUUGCCUUGCCAGAUGGUAACAACAAUAGAAUAAUUAUCACUACAAGAAGAGGCGAUAUAGCUAAUUCUUGUAGAGAUGAUGAUUCUAUUGAUAUCCACAAGGUUCAGCCACUGUCACCGCAAUGGGCUGAGCAACUCUUCUAUAAGAAAGCUUUCUCAAGAAAUGGCAGAUGUCCUUCAGGCUUGGAGGAAGUCUCCAAAUCCAUCUUACAGAAAUGUGAUGGAUUACCACUUGGGAUUAUUGAAAUCGGUAAGCUGUUGUGGGGUAAGCGUCAAAGUACAUACGAGUGGAAAAAAUUAGAUGAUAGCCUUGAGUCUGAAUUGAGAAGCGGUGGUGGCCUUUCAGAUAUAAUGAGAGUGCUUUCUGCAAGUUACAAUGAUUUACCUUACCAUCUCAAGUAUUGCUUCUUAUACAUGAGUAUUUUUCCUGAGAAUAAUCCAGUUAAGCGAAGAAGACUGAUUCGGCUAUGGAUAGCUGAGGGAUUUGUAACAGAGGAGAGAGGCAAGACUCUUGAAGAGGUGGGGGAAGAGUACCUGAAUGAGCUUAUUGGUAGGAGUCUCAUAAAGGCAAAUGAAAUGGACUUUGAUGAAAGACCAAUAACUGUUGGAGUCCAUAGUCUCAUGCAUAGGAUAAUUCUCUCGGUUUCACAAGUGGAGAACUUUUGUACUGUUUGUGCAGGACCAGAAGGAAACUUGGCUGACAAACCCCGACGCCUAUCCAUCCAGACGGGAAACUUUGAUGUGUCUCAGGACUUAACCUGUGUUCGAACUUUUUUCAGUUUCAGUACAGGUAGGGUAAACAUUGGUUCGAAUUUCAAACUAUUGAAGGUUUUGGACAUACAAAGCACUCCUUUGGAAAACUUUCCAAGUGCCAUUACAGAUCUUCUGCUCUUGAGGUACUUGAGUUUGAGGAAUACAAAUAUAAGGAGCAUCCCCAAAUCCCUCAGGAACCUACGGCACCUUGAGACCUUGGAUCUUAAGCAAACUCUGGUAAAAGAGCUACCCAAAGCAGUCCUACAACUUGAUAAACUUCGCCACUUGCUGGUUUAUGCCUACAAUAUGGGAAGUGUUGUAGAGUUUGAUGCCGUUCAAGGGUUCACUGUACCGAGAAAGAUCGGAGCAAUGAAGAAUCUGCAAAAGCUAUCAUUUGUAAAGGCGAAAAGGCAUAACAGAAUGAUACAGGAGCUCAAAAAUCUGACAAAGCUGAGGAAGCUGGGCAUUGUAGAACUAGCAAAAGAAGAUGGCAAUAGCUUGUGCCACUCAAUUGAGAAGAUGCCGGAUCUCCUUUCCUUGGAUGUUACCUCCCUUAGUAAGGGGGAGCCUUUGGAGCUUGAUGCAAUGACCAAUCCCCCGCGUCUUCUUCAACGCCUGUAUCUCAAAGGGCACUUGCAAAGGUUUCCAAAGUGGGUAUCUUCUCUACAUGACCUGGUGAGAAUACGCCUAAAAUGGUCCUUAUUGUCACAAGACAACCCAAUUGAAGCUCUUCAAGAUCUUCCAAACUUGAUGGAGCUGCAGUUACUUGAUGCAUACACUGGAACCCAGUUGGACUUCAACUCGGGAAAAUUUCAGAAGCUUAAGAUAUUAGACCUUGAGCAAUUGAAACAGCUGAGGUUUAUCAUAAUGGAAGAUGACACAUUGCCUUGCCUACAAAAGCUGAUCAUAAGGCAAUGCAAUGAGCUGGAACAUGUCCCCGUAGGCAUUGACGGGCUUCAUCAUCUCAAUGAGCUGCACCUCUGCGAUAUGCCUGAGAAAUUCGUGGCACUGCUGAAGAAAAGAGGCGGUGAACUUCGCCAUUUGCUUCACCGUAUUUUGCGUAUUCUCUCAUAUCAACAGGGCCAGUUGGUGGAAGAUCUUUCAUGACCAUAAAUGCUACAUCUGUGACAUGCACCAGUGGAACAAGAAUCAAGGUUUGUAUAACUACAUGGAUUCAUCGCUUGCUUCUUUUGGAUUCCUCAAAAUGCAUUGUCGUCAAUUCCUUUACUAGCAAUAUUACUGCAUGUUCCUAGGAAAUCAUGGUGGGAUAUCUAGCAUUUAUACAUAUCAAACAUCGAAUAUCUGUGGAGUCAUAUUUGAAACUGCCAUUGUUGAAACUACGCCGAGACUCGGUACAAGACAGUCGGAUUAUGGUUAGGUGUCAAGCCCCUGAGCCUUCCAAUUGAUUUUUAUUAUUCUUGUAUUGAUAAUAGUAUGAAGUUAGAAUCAAUUUUAUUAUAUUUCGCUUAAAACGUCGGAAUCAGUUUCACAUUAAGCUUGUAGGAUAGCGAACAAAUUGAAUAUCAAUUUACUAUAAAAAUCUUCUCUUUUUUUUUUUCAAUUUUUUUAUUUAUUUUAUACUUGUGUCUGGUUUGGUUAACAAAUAAUGACAUUAUGCCCACUUGUGAAUUUUUAAUAUUAUGUUUUUAUGAUUAUUUUAGAUGAUAUUAAAUAUAAUAGUGAUUUGCUUUAAUUGUUGGUUUGUUGAAUGCAUUCUUAUCCAAUUGUUUUUAUUUAUUUUCUCUAAAAUUUUUAUUACUUUAAAAUUGUUCUAUACUUUUUAAUUAAUUAAGCAGUUUAUUCUGCAUAUAGUCUGGUUUAAUCGAAUAAAAUACGAUGACGAAGUCCUCUAAGAAUCUUCUAUAAAAGUCAACUCUGCCCAAUCAAUUCUUUCACAGGGGAACAAUGGUUUAUUAAUGUGCAACUAGCGUUUUUAUAAAUAAAAUAUUCUUAAUUUCCUCUAAAUAUCAGAUUAGUGUUAGACAAAACCAAUAAUAAUAUUUUUAUUGGGAUUUUUCAAUGGCAUUAUAAAGUCACCAAUCAAUUAAUAAAAAAUGGUCAUUGAAGUCACCGUGAUUUAUUGAUUUAUUUAUUUUUACCUGGACAAUGAUCUUAAUUAUUGUUUUUUCUGUAUUAUUUAAGUAUCAAGUUUUUAACAAAAGAAACCCAAGGUUAUGGAUGGGCAUUUCUCAAUACUAGAGGUACUAGUUUUUUUAGGGAAAAAUAGGUAUAAAAAAAAUUUAAUAUUUGCUAAAUUUUGGAAAAGUUGAAUAAUAUUGAGAUUAGUACCUUGAAAAGUUAAAAUUAUUCAAACACAAAAUAAAGAAUAAAAAGUAUAUUAAUAAUUUGUUUAGUAAAUUUUAACAUUUCUUUUACUUGAAAUUUUUUUAAAAAAAAAUUCUAUAUAGGGCAUAUAAUUAGGAUUAGGUUUAUUAAUAAAUGAAAUGUUUUUCUUAGCUGACAAUGCAAUCAUGUUGACCCAUAAAUUUGCAUUAGAUUUAUGAGAAAACUUUGAAUUUCUUUAUUUUCUUUUACAUGGCACAAAGGUUUAUAUAGAUUGUCUUGAAGUAGCAGUAAAGUGAUCCUUUAAGUACCACAAAUACUUGUGAUUUGGAAAUAAUCAAAGUCUUCCCAAUUGGGACGACCCUAGGUUCCAAUACAUUAGCAUUGAUUUCUUUGAGUUGUAUAUGAUGCUUCUUUUCAUGUUAUUUACGACAUUGACUACUAGAAUCUCUUGCAGAUGCAAGUGGCAUUCAUUAAAAGUUAAGACCACUGCUUUCAAGGGUCCUAUGUCCAGCUUCCGAGCAACAACAAUACGAGAAUGGGAAUGGUAAUGGGGUGGAAUUUUCUUGAUGGGACAAAUUUGGGAUAAAUAUGAAUGAGUUCAACCAACAAAUUUGAGAUUUUUUGUUUUUUUUUUGAACCCAAAGUGGGUUUGGGUAUGAUGUUGUCCCAUCCCAUAUGUAAUAUUAAAUAAAAAUGAUUUUAAUACAUUUUUGACUUUUUUUAACAUAUAUCAAAUAUUUUUUUUUAUAAAGAUAAAUUAUACAUAUUUAUAAUAUUUAUUUAUUUGUAAAUUAUAUUUAUUUUUAAUACAAUUUAAAAGUAAAAAAAUUAAGAAAAAAUAAAAAAUAGACAGACAAGGUGAAUAUGAGAAUUUUCCUACAUCUGUUCUACCUAUUUAUUUAUUUUUUUCAUGAAAAUGAGAAUAAAUAUAAAUAAAUUGGACGAUAUUAAAAUAUGGGUGACCAUCUCAAACUUGCCCGUUACCAACCAUAACCGAGAAGAUUGGGUCAAUGUGGAUUUUUAAGCUCCUUUUUUGGUUUGGGUUUGCAAAAAAAGACCCAACCAUUUAUUCGUUUGGCCAUAUGAAGUUGAUGAAUGCAACACCUUAACUCGGAACAUGACAUCCAUCAAACUUAGGCAAUCUCUCGCGUAAAUUUUAAGAAAUCACAAUAACUAGGAAUUUUCAACUAUGAAAUUUCCAAAAGAUAGCAUCAUUUUACAUUGUUCUAAGGCCAGUGCCAAAGGGUUCAUGUAGAAUUUUCAAAAUGUUUUUGUCCUGAGAAAAUACAUUUUGGAUAUGUUUCGUACCCAGUAAAUUCCAGGAUGCACAUAAUGGAAAUAAAAUUGAAAAAAAGAAAAAAAAAAGUAAAGAAAAAUAAAAUAUAGAUUUAAGAUCAAUAAAUUAUGUUAUAUAUUUCUUCAAACUAAUUUCACUUAUUUUCCUUAUUAUCUAAAGAUUAAAUAAUUUUAAAAUACAUAAAUCUUUUAUUAACUUUCAUUAUAUUUGAUUUUUUUUUAUAUUUUUUAUAAUAAAAUUAAACAUGAGAAAAUUAGUUUUAUUAACAUUUUUUUUUCUUUUACUUUCCUAGAACCGAACAUAGUACUAAGAAGCUAUAGCUAGAAAUGCCAUGAUACCAUUUUCUUGAAAACUUCCAUAUAAUUAAUAUGUACAUGUAGAUUACCUACAAUUUUCAAAUAGACAAGUACUUGUGUGUUUCAGUUUCCAAAACUUUUAUUAGGAACUCAACUUAAGACUUUACUGAAUUCAUGGGAUUGUCAGAUUUAGUAUAGGAAGAAAUUUUCCAUUGUUGACUAUAAUCUAUAUAUGGUGACCAUGUGACAUUAAUAUAUUUAUUUAGAUAUAUAAAAAAAUAUUUGAUUAAAAGACUUAAAAUACUCUUUGUAAAACCAAGGUUUGGUUAAUCUUGAUUUUGAUGAUAAAAAUAAAAAAUAAAAUUAGAAUUCAUGAUUAUAUUUCAACUGUCACUAGACAAGAUGAUUUCUAGAGUGACAAUCACAAAAAUAAAAUUAAGUCAAAGAGAAAUCAAUAAAAAGAAGAAAACCUCAAAAAGAAAUGUUUUUCAAGACCUAAGCUCCAUAGGAUAUCUUUGUAAGGUUGUUGGUGCACCAAGUUUUUCAUGCAUUACAUUCUUUACUUAUGCACCAAAAUCAUUUAAGAAUUAUUUUGUUUUAAAUAUUUUAAAAUAAGAUGAUUUCAUGUUUUCAACUAAAACUUUGUGUCAAAUACUUUCCAAACUUGUUUAAAAUAGUUUUAAGUUAAAAAGAUGGUUAUUGAACCAAAAACGACUCAAUUGGUUGAGAAAUUUGCUCAAUCGGUUGAACAUAUUGAGGAACCAAUCAACCUGUUCAACUUAACUGGUUGAAGGGUGUAAAAAAACUCUUUCUCUUCCAGAACACUUAUUCGAUCGAUCGAUCGAGGUUGGACCUCAUCCGAUUGACCAAUUCAGCUCAAUCAGUUGAAAGGUGUAAAAAUCUUCUUUCUAUUCCAAAAUACUUCUUUGACUAGUUGAGGUUGGACUUCAUCUGGUCAAGUACUAGUUGAGGAGCGGUUGAGGUUCAACAGUCACCUGUCAUGCAUUAAAUGUUAAUGGCUAGUGAACCAGUCGAAUUGGAGCUCGAUCGGAUGAACUCGCAAUGACUAGUUAGACUUAUCUCCUCUAUAAAAAGGUUCCAAUCUUUAUUGUUUCAAGAGUUUAAUCUUCGUAACCCUUUCUUGAAUAUAUUUGAGCAUUGAAAGUGUGUUUUUUAGUGCACCAUUGUUCUAAAACUUGCAAUCAUUAAUGCACCAGUCAAUCCUAAUUUAUCUUGUAUCAUUUGAACCUAAAGUUUUGUACUAGAUUUUGUGAGAUUAUUUCUUAUCUUCAUUUGUAAAUCUUUGAGAGAAAUAAUCUAAGUGUGAGGUAUCAUUUAGGGAUAUUUAAGUGUGGGGUAUCACUUAGAAAUUCUUAAGUUUGGGGUAUUAUUUGAGGGAUUGUUCAAAAGUGAUCUAUCUCUUAAGGAUUUUAAAGGAUGAACCUAAAGUUCUGUACUAUAUUUUGUGAGAUUAUUUCUUAUCUUUAUUUGUAAAUCUUUGAGAGGAAAAAUCUAAGUGUGAGGUAUCAUUCAGGGAUAUUUAAGUGUGGGGUAUCACUUAGAGAUUCUUAAGUGUGAGAUAUCACUUAAGGGGUUGUUCAAAAGUGAUGCAUCUCUUAAGGAUUGUAAAGGAUGCUUAGAGCCAAAAGUUCAAGAGGGUGAAUUGGAACCAUAAUCCAAUUAUAUUGCUUGAAUGCUUGGUUUGAAAGCCUUGAAUUAGUAGAAUUUCAAACUUGUGAUUGAAACUGGAGGAGAGUGGACAGAGGCUAGGUUGCGUUGAACCAUUAUAAAAAUCUUGUAUUUGCAUUCUCUCUUAUAUUCUCUUUUAAUUUAUAUGCAAUUGUUUUUAUAUUAUUUAUUAUAUAAAUUACAUAUAAUUAUCUCUUAAAUUUACAUAAUUUAAAUUUACAAAAAGAGACCAUCACCCUAUUCACCAUUUUUAGAGUGGUUACCUUAGGUUGGAUUAACUUUUUUUUUUUUUUUAAUACUUUUGAAAUUGGAAAAAUGACGUUCUUUACUCAUUCCUUGAAAAAUAAAAAAAUGAUUCAUUUUGGAUGUUAUUCUUCUUUUUUAUUUUCUUAAAAAUGCCAUUUUCUUCUAUUUCCUAAUUUAUUUAUUUAGUUUUCACAUUUAGGAUACCAAGCUCUCUUUCUCCCUCUAAGUUUAUGCUUUCCAAUUUUUCAUUGAAUUUUUUUAGUGAAGUUCAAAUCCUUAACAAAGAUUAAUGGAUAAUGAUCGGUUGUAGUCCUCUCAUCUUUCUUUUUUCUUCAAGAUUCUUUAUAUUUUCCAUUUUCUCUUUAUUUCUUGUUGGAAUUUUUUAUUAGAGGGUUUUUUUUGAAAUUGUUAUUUUUAAAAUUUUUUGUAGUUGUUUUUUUGCAGGUUUUUUUUUCUUUUUGGUUAACGGUUUUUUGUUGAGGGUUUUUUAUUAGGGCUUCUUACAAUUUCAUUUACACUUCUACAUUGUUUUUGCUUAGGGUUUCUUGGUAGUUAUUUUCUAUUGAAAUUUUGGUUGGGGUCCGUUGCCAUUGUUUUUCAUUAGAGUUUUUUUUAUAGUUGUUUUAUCGAGUUUUAUUUUUUAUUUAUUUUUUUGCAUUUUCACUAAGUCUUAUAAUAAUACCCUCUAUUUUGUCCUUUUGGCACAUGAUACUCAAGUUAGCCAUCAUUCAUCCUUUAUUACUUGUUUGUGCACUUCACGGUCUUUUUUCAAGCUAUUUUUGAGCUCUCAUUGAUGGUCUACUGUGACUAUGUUUAUCACUAGUUUUUUGUAUUUUCUAUAAGAAACAUUUUGGAGGGAUUAGGUGGACCUUAACCUUGAUUUUAGUGACCAUUAAUUCUUAGUUUGUGAUUUUGUUUUUGGUUAAUUUAUAAUAUAUUUAGGCUUUUUUAAAACCUUUAAUGUCACUAGAUAAAUUCAUAAUUUGGAUUGACUAAUAAUAGAUUUCAUUUUUAAAAAAAAAUGUAUAAUGAAGGUCAACAUUGAAUUAAGAAAAAGUUUUUAUUUAUUUAUGAAUUUGAUUUAAUUUGAUCUAAUUAUUUUUGUUUGCAUUUUUUAUUUUUUAUUUUUAUAAAUUAUAGAACUUUAGAUAUCAAUCGUGAUUAUGAAAUAGGUAAAUUGAAAAUUGAUAUAUUAUGGCCACUGAACAUAGGCCCUAAGAUUUUUCAUGCUAUAAUAAUAUUUCUUUUAAUAUCUCAUAAAUCGUAAAUUAAAAUGAAAAUAAAAUUAAGAUUGGAGUUUAUUGAAGACAUCAAAUUCAUGCUUUAAAAUAUAUAUUAAAAUGGGUCGUUUCUUUUAAUAAUAAUCAUACUAAAACAUUUUUUUUUUUUUUUUGCUUUAAUGUCUUACAAGCCACCAACGGCCAACCAGCUGUACCCAACCUUACCAACCGUGAGCCUAGCCUUUUUCAACCUAUAAAACCUAGCCCUUUGUAGCAUUGGGCCAAAAUGACCCAUGUAUUAAAAAAAAAAAAUUAGAUGUAACCAUUUUAUGAAAUUUAUAUUCAAACUAACAUCUUUGAUGCCACGAGGACUCAUGUCAUAAAAAUAUUUUUUUUUUCAAAAUUUUAAUUAAAACCUCAAUUGGUAAUUGAGGUUUCAUUUUUGAACUGAAGUCGCAAUUACUAACUGAGACUUCAGUUAUUGAACUAAAGUCACAAUUGUCAAUUGAGGUUUUAGUUAAAAAAUAAAGUUUCAAUUGACAAUUGAACUAAAGCCUCAAUUGACAACUAAAACUUCAUUUUUUUUAACUAAAACCUCAAUUGUCAACUAAGCCUUAGUUAAUUUUUUUUAACUUUAAAAUUUAGUUAAAAAUUAUUAAAUUAUAGUUUAUUAUUAAAAUUAGAAAUAUAUAUUUUAAUAAUAAAUUAUUUAUAUUUAAGCUUAAAAAUCUAAUAUUACUUCAACAAAUAUAAAUUGAUAGAUAAAAGAUAUUAUAAAUGAAUAUUUUAUUUAUUAAUAAAUUAAUAAUAUUAAAAUAAUAAAUUUAUAUAACAUAUAAAUAAGAUAUAAAAUUGUAUAAUUUAUUAAUUUAAGAUUUUUUUUUAAAGAUAUUAAUGUAUUUGUAUUAUGUUAAAUUUAUCCAUAUGUUCUCUCAUUAUGAAAGCAUAUGAGGUCAUAUAUGUUUUUUUUUUUUCAGCAUAUAAAUGUUUAAUGGGUAUUUUUUGUGACUUUGAUAAAACAACUAAAAAUUAUAUUUUGUAGUAGACUUUUUUUAACUAAUUUUGUCAAAAAAUCUAUAUAUAAAAAUUUAAGAGUAUACUGUUAUUUCAAUAAAGAUAAAUUUCUUAUAAUACAAAUAAAUCAAUGUCUUAAAAAACAACAAAUUAAAUAUCUUAAAUUAAUAAAUUAUAAAAUUUUAUAUCUUAUUUGUAUGUCAUAUAAUUUUAUUAUUUUAAAAUUAUUAAUUUAUUGAUAAAUAAAAUAUUUAUUUAUUGUAUUAUAUUUAUCAAUUUAUGUUUAUUGAAGUAAUACUAGAUUUUUAAGUUUAAAUAUAAAUAAUUUAUUAUUAAAUUAUAUAUUUUUAAUUUCAAUAAUAAGUUAUAAUUUAAUAGUUUUUAAUUAAAUUUAAAAGUUAAAAAAAAAUAUUAACUGAAGCCUCAAUUGGCAAAUACACCUUAGAAGUAUACUAUUAUUUAGAUAAAAAUAAAUUUGUCAUAAUACAAAUAAAUUAAUAUCUUAAAAAAUAACAAAUUAAAUAUCUUAAAUUAAUAAAUUAUACAAUUUUAUACCUUAUUUAUAUGUUAUAUAUAUAAAUUUAUUAUUUUAAAAUUAUUAAUAAAUAAAAUAUUCAUUUAUAAUAUCUUCUAUUUAUUAAUUUAUGUUUGUUGAAGUAAUAUUAGAUUCUUAAGUUUAAAUAUAAAUAAUUUAUUAUUAAAUUAUAGAUUUUUAAUUUCAAUAAUAAAUUAUAAUUUAGUAGUUUUUAAUUAAAUUUAAAGUAAAAAAAAAAUUAAAUGAAACCUGAAUUGGUAAUUGAAGUUUUAGUUCAAAAAUGAAGUUUCAGUUACCAAUUGAGAUUUCAGUUAAAAAUAAAGUUUCAAAUUGCGGUUUUAGUUCAAAAACUAAAGCCUCAAUUGAUAAUUACGGUUUUAGUUUAAAAAAGAAAUCUCCUCAAUUAUCAAUCUAGGUUUUUAUUAAAAGUUAAAAAAUAUAUAUAUUUAUAUGACAUGAAACUAAAGAUGCUAGUUCGAAUAUAAGCUGGAUAAAGUGGUUAGAUGUAAUAUAUUUUUUUUAAUAAAUGGGACAUUUUGACCCAAAACUCUUGAGCUGCAACCAGCCAUACCAAAGACACCCUGCACUAGCCGUCCGUAAUCCUCUACUGCAGCUUCGUUUUAGCUGCCCGAGGCGUCUCAAAUCAGCCCCAUCAAGUUGUCCACUCUCCCUGCUAUGAGCUUGGAAAUAAUCCAAGUCUUCCCAACCGGGAAGACUCUAGCUAGCUUCCAAUACGAAGACUCUAGCUAGCUUCCAAUACAUCAAUACUGAUUUUCUUGAGCUGCAUGUGAUGGUUCUUUUCAUAUUAUUAAUUAACGCCAUUGACUGGUCAUCUUCCCUGACAAUUCAUCAGUUAAAAUCACUGGUUUCAAGGGUACACCCAGCCACCAAUGCAAUAGCAAUACGGAGAAGACUGGGUCCAUGUGAGUAAUUGAUAGGCUUUUUUUUUUUUUUUGGUUUUGGUACGCAGAAAAAGAGGAGUUUUGGGUCAAAAUGCCGUAUAUUAAAAAAAAAAAAUAUUACAUCUAAUUAUUUUAUGAAACUUAUGUUCAAAUGCUUUGUAGGAAUCAUGUCAUAAAUUUUUUUUUUUUUAAAUUUUAGUAAAAGUCUCAAUUAAUAAUUAGGGUUUCAAUUUUGAAUUGAAAUUGUAAUUGUCAGUUGAGGCUUUGGUUUUUGAACUAAAGCUAUAGUUGUUAACUGAGACUUCAUUUUUUAACUGAAACCUCACUUGACAAAUACUUUAUUUUUAAACUAAAGCCUUAAUUGACAAUUAAGACUUUUUAUUUUAUUUUAAAAUUUAGGUAAAAGCUAUUAAAUUAUAGUUUAUUAUUGAAAUUAGAAAUAUAUAUUUUAAUAAUAAAUUAUUUAUAUUUAAGCUUAAGAAUCUAGCAUUAUUUUAAUAAACAUAAAUUGAUAGAUAGAAGAUAUUAUAAAUGAAUAUUUUAUUUAUUAAUAAAUUAAUAAUAUUAAAAUAAUAAAUUUAUAUAACAUAUAAAUAAGAUAUAAAAUUGUAUAAUUUAUUAAUUUAAGAUAUUAAUUUGUUGUUUUUUUAAAGAUAUUAAUUUAUUUGUAUUAUGUCAAAUUUAUUCAUAGGUUCUCUCCUUGUGGAGGCAUAUUAUGUUAUAUAUGUUUUUUUUUUAGCAUAUAAAUGUUUAGUGAAUAUUUUUUAUGACUUUGAAAAAACUACUAAAAAUCAUAUUUUUUAGUAGACUUUUUCUAACUAAUUUUGUCAAAAAGUCUAUAUAUAGAAACUUAAGAGUAUACUAUUAUUUCAAUAAAGAUAAAUUUUUCAUAAUACAAAUAAAUUAUUAUCUUAAAAAACAACAAAUUAAAUAUCUUAAAUUAAUAAAUUUUAAAAUUUUAUAUCUUAUUUGUAUGUCAUAUAAAUUUAUCAUUUUAAGAUUAUUAAUUUAUUGGUAAAUAAAAUAUUCAUUUAUUGUAUUGUAUUUAUCAAUUUAUGUUUAUUGAAAUAAUACUAGAUUUUUAAGUUUAAAUAUAAAUAAUUUAUUAUUAAAAUAUAUAUUUUUAAUUUCAAUAAUAAGUUGUAAUUUAAUAGUUUUUAAUUAAAUUUGAAAGUAAAAAAAAAGCCUCAGUUAACAACUACGGCUUAGGAGUAUACUAUUAUUUCGAUAAAGAUAAAUUUAUCAUAAUACAAAUAAAUUAAUACCUUAAAAAAUAACAAAUUAAAUAUCUUAAAUUAAUAAAUUAUAUAAUUUUAUAUAUUAUUUAUGUGUUAUAUAAAUUUAUUAUUUUAAAAUUAUUAAUUUAUUAAUAAAUAAAAUAUUUAUUUAUAAUAUCUUUUAUUUAUCAAUUUAUGUUUGUUGAAGUAAUACUAGAUUCUUAAGUUUAAAUAUAAAUAAUUUAUUAUUAAAGCAUAGAUUUUUAAUUUCAAUAAUAAAUUAUAAAUUAAUAGUUUUUAAUUAAAUUUUAAAAAAAAAAAAUUGAAGCCUCAGUUGAUAAUUGAGACUUUAAUUCAAAAAUAAAGGCUUCAGUUAAAAAAUAAAGUCUCAAUUGAUUAUUUCGAUUUUAGUUUAAAAACUAAACCUCAAUUGAUAUUUACGGUUUUAAUUUAAAAAUGAAACAUCAGUUACUAAUUGAGACUUUCAUUAAAAUUUUGAAAAAAAAUAUAAUUCUAUGAUACUACUUCUACGUGACAUCAAAAAAGUUGUUUGAAAAUAAAGUGGUUAAAUCUAUUUUAUUUUUUAUCCUGGGCCAUUUUGACCCAAAACUCGAAAAAGAGAGUCGGCAAUUUAUUUGUAUGGCCCACACGAAAUUGAUGAAUCCAUCGCCUUAGAAAUAUGACAUCCAUCAAACUCAGGCAAUCUCCACCGCAUGAAUUUUAAAAGCCACAGCAAUUGGGGAUAUUCUACCGUGGAAGAUGGCAUCAUUUUACAUUCUACUGAGGCCAAUAUCUAUGCUUCGUGGUUCUCUGGAACCAAUCAUGUAUUGCCUUGAACCCUUGAGAGAGAACAUGUGAUAUGCCCACGUCUUUUUAUUUACGCACAUUCCUACUACUUUUCUUUGUUUUUAUUGUAUAAGGUUGGAGGGUGGUCUAUGUAUUGACUCGGUAUGUAUGCUUGACUACAAACUCGAUGGUAGUUCAUAUGAGUGGAUCCUAAUAUUGUUGCAGCAAUUUGCCGAUUUCAGAGAAAAGAGAGAGAGAGAUAAUGGUCGACCCAGAAAUAACUGGAGGGAUUGCAGCGAGUACUUUGAGCUUUCUUCUAGUAAAACUCGAUGCUUUUGCAAUUAGAGAAUGGAAAUUGCAGGAAAAUAUCAAAAAGUCUGUCCAAAAUUUAGGAUGCGAGCUGAGGAACAUUCAGGCCAUGCUGAGAGAUGCUGAUUCAAAGGAAGAGCAUAGUCACCAAUUUACGGUCUGGAUUAAAGAGGUCCGCGAUCAAGCUUAUGCAAUCGAGGAUGCUCUUGACCUGUUCAAACUCAAACAAGAAUCAGUGUGGCGCCGCCUGAAACUGCGUCACUCCAUCAACGACUUGAUACAGGAUAUUGAGCGGAGUCUCCAAAACAUUCAGCGGACAAAGGAGAGGUAUCGCAGCAUGGCCUCCUAUUCAACCAAUGCUGGCAACAACACAUACCUUCAUGUGAGAGUGGCUCCUUUGUUCAUAGGUAACGUUGAUACCGUGGGCAUUGAGGAGCCUACAAAUAAGCUGGUUUCCUGGGCCUUGGAACCGAAACAGAGGCUUGAGGUGAUGUUUGUGGUGGGGAUGGCUGGACUGGGGAAGACCACUCUUGUCCACAGCGUGUAUGAGAGCGUGAAACAGAACUUUGAUUGCCAUAUCUGGAUCACUGCUUCAAAGUCCAAAACCAAACUCGAUAUCUUACGGACCUUGUUGGUGGAGAAAUUCGGCUGUACAAUCACACAGGGGGGCGAUGUGGUUGCUCUGACGCAUAAGCUGAGAAAAUUUCUCCACAACAAACGGUAUGUCAUAGUUCUUGAUGACUUAUGGGUAAAAGAUGUUUGGGAGUCCAUUAGACUUGCCUUGCCAAAUGGUAAGGACAGUAGAAUAAUUAUCACUACAAGGAGAGGCGAUAUAGCUAAUUCUUGGAGAGAUGAUGAUUCUGUUGAUAUCCACAUGCUUCAGCCACUGUCACCGGAAAGGGCUGAGAAACUCUUCUAUAAGAAAGCUUUCUCAAGAAAUGGCAGAUGUCCUUCAGGCUUGGAGGAAGUCUCGAAAUCCAUCUUACAGAAAUGUGAUGGAUUACCACUUGGGAUUAUUGAAAUCGGUAGACUUUUAUCCAUCAAGGCUCCAACUAAAAAUGAGUGGAAAAUAUUACAUGAUAGCCUUGAGUCUGAAUUGAGAGGCAGUGGUGGCCUUUCAAAUAUUACGAAAGUGCUGUCUGCAAGUUAUAAUGAUUUACCUUUCCAUCUCAAGUAUUGUUUCUUGUACAUGAGCAUCUUUCCUGAGACUAGCCCAGUUAAGCGAAGAAGGCUAAUUCGGCUAUGGAUAGCUGAAGGGUUUGUAAUAGAGAAAGGAGGCAAGACAUCUGAAGAGGUUGGGGAAGAGUAUCUGAAUGAGCUGAUUGACAGGAGUCUGAUAAAGGUAAAUGAAAUGGAUUUUGAAGGAAGGCCAAAAAGUGUGGGAGUUCAUAGUCUGAUGCUGAAGAUGAUUCUCUCAGGUGGUGUUUGUUUUUUUGGCUUUUUGCUGAAAACCAUUUAGUUUUAGAAUUUAGGUUGUUUGUUUUUUUACUUUUUCAUGACUUAUUAUAAACUUUUUACUAAAUAGAAAAAGCUAAAAUAUGUGGCUUUUUCUAAAUAGAAAAAAUAACACAAUGAUUUUUUUUACUUUUUAAUACUUAAUAGAAAUAAAAUACUACAAAAACAAACAACCUAAUAUUUAAGACUAUUAAGUAUUAAGGUUCUAUUUAGAAUUAAGUAAAAAAACAAACACCACCUCAGUCUCACGAGAGGAGAACUUUUGUUCUGUUUGUACAGGAUCAGAAAGGAACUUGAGUGAGAAAACCCGGCGCCUAUCUAUUCAGAAGGAAGAUUUUGAUGUGUCUCAGGACUUACCCUGUGUUCGAACCUUCUUCAGUUUCGGUAUAGGCAAAGUAAAGAUUGGUUCCAACUUCAAACUAUUGAAGGUCUUGGACAUACAGGGCACUCCUUUGGAAGAAUUUCCGGGUGUAAUUAAAGAUCUUCUGCUCUUGAGGUACUUGAGUUUGAGGAAUACAAAUAUAAGGAGCAUUCCAGGGACCCUGGGUGACCUUCAUCACCUUGAGACCUUGGAUCUUAAGCAGACUCUGGUAACAAAAGUACCCAAAGCAGUCCUACAACUUGAGAAACUUCGCCAUUUGCUGGUUUAUCGCUACAAUAUGGAAAGUGCCCUACCUUUUGAUAUUGUGCAGGGGUUCAAGGCACCAAAGAGGAUCGGCGCAUUGAAGAACCUACAAAAGCUGUCAUUUGUAAAGGUGAGUGGGCAGCACAGAAUGAGUCGGGAGCACAGAAUGAUACAAGGGCUCGACAAUCUUACGCAGUUGAGGAAGCUGGGCAUUGUAGAACUAGCAAAAGAACGUGGGGCGAGCUUGUGCCUCUCAAUUGAAAAGAUGCCAAAUCUCCACUCCUUGAAUGUAACCUCUCUUAAUAAGGAGGAGCCUCUGGAGCUUGAUGCAAUGACCAAUCCACCGCCCCUUCUUCAACGCUUGUACCUCAAAGGGCCCUUGAAUAGGUUUCCACAGUGGGCAACUUCUCUACAUGACCUGGAGAGAAUACGCCUAAAAUGGUCUUCACUCACAGAAAACCCGAUUGCAGCUCUUCAAAACCUCCCAAAUCUGACAGAGUUGCAGUUGCUUGAUGCAUAUACUGGAACCCAGUUGGACUUCAACUCCGGAAAAUUUCCGAAGCUGAAGAUAUUAGACCUUCAGCAAUUGGAACAGGUGAGGUCUAUCAUGAUGGAAGAAGGCACAUUGCCUUGCCUACAGAAGCUGAUCAUAAGCCACUGCAGCAGGCUGGUGCAGGUCCCUAGAGGUAUUGACAAGCUCAUUCACCUCCAAAUGCUGCUGUUGUACGAUAUGCCCGGAACAUUUGUGACCGGGCUGAGGAAAAACGGUGGUCAAUUUCGCCGUUUGGUUCACCAUAUUCCAUGUAUUCAUUCAUAUAACCAGGCCCAGUUGGAAGAUCUUUCUUGAUCAUUAUACAUCUACGAGGAAGAAUCAGGUCUGUAGAACAACCUGAAUUCAUCGUUUCCUUCUUCUAGAUUCCCCAAAACGUACUGUUGGAUUGCUAUUUCUUUUCUAGGAUUACUGCAUUUUCCUAGGAAACUAUGUAUGGUGCAAUUGAGUAUGAAAUUAUGUCCUCAAUCAAAGGUAUCAUUUUACUAUUAUUUUACAAAGGUAUCAUUUUAUUUAUACGAUGAAGACAUUUGAUUAUACAUAUUUACUUUUUUCUAAAAUUUUAUUUAUUUUUAGUGUUUUUUUAUUUUUUAUUUUUAGCUUUCCAAGUAAUAUGCUCAGCAUAAAAUUCCAUAUUGAUCUAAAAUGAGCCUGAUGGGUCUAUAUAAAGAUCUCUCAUGUAAAAGAUCAAUUUACAAGGAAUACUGGUUAUGUUUGAAAGUAGUUUUAUAUUCUUUAAAAAUAUAAAACAGUUUUUUUAACUUAAAAAACGCUUUCAUCUUGAUUUGAUAUAGCAUGAUGGGUUUAUCUAAAGAUCUUUCGAGUCAAACAUCAAUUAGAAGGAAUAUCGGUCAUGUUUGAAAAUAGUUUUAUAUUCUUUUAAGAAGAUAAGUUAAACAGUUUUUUAACCUAAAAACUAUGAUUGAAAAUUUUCAGGAAUUUGUAGAGUUUGUUUAAAAAAUAAUUUGUUUUUUUUAUAUCUUUAAGAAUUCUUUUCAAAAAAAAAAAUCUCUAAAUCUUAAAACAUCCCUCUAGCUUAAAGAUGACUUUUAGAAAAUUUUACAACUUUUCCUAAUAAAGUCUAGUUCAGAACAUCCAGAAGAGUUAUAUGUAUUCUUCAUAAUCAAAAGAUGUCCGAGAAUCACUUUUAAUAUAAAAAACGUUUUUCUAAAAAAAUAAAAUGUUUCACAAAAUUCAAAAAUCAUUUUUAAAAAAUUGAAGAAUUGUUUAGAGUGUUUUUUUUUUUAAAUUUUUUAUAAAUGUUUAAUAAGUGAUUCUCCUAAAAACUCUUUAAAAAAAACAUUUAAGUAAAAAUUCUUCUGAUAAAAAUAUUAUCAAACAUACUCUAAUUCCUUAUGCUUGAAGCUUCCAAUGCAAUUCAUUGAAAGUAUUUUCCAUAUGACUUCUCCACAAAAUAUUUCUUUAAACUUAAAACUAAAAGUCAUAUUUUUAAAAAAAGAAAAAUAAAUUCUUGACAUGUAUAGGAUAUGAGAUUUUUGUUCUAACACUAGGUUAAAGUUAAGAAUGCAAAAAAAAAAACCUGACCAUUAAGUCAAAUUUAAAUCUUGAUUAAAAAAAAACCAUUAAAAUAAAUUUGCUCUACUUUGUCUCCACCCUCUUACAUUUCUUCCACCCUCUCCCCCAUCCUAUAGAUGUACCACUGUAGUAUUUUUGGAGAGGUUAACUUGCAAAGUAAGGAAAGCUUUUUUUUAAAGGACACUUCUCCACUUGUUUGUCCAAUCGGGAUAGAAACAUAAAAUUUGCUACCAAUGAUGAAGAAAAGUAAACAGAGUGUAAGAAAACAUUUCAUGUUUAAUCUAAAAAUUACAAUCCCAACAAAAAUAUAAAAAAUCAUGUCAAUCUGGUCAAUGGAAAAGGAAACAUAGAAGAACUUAUGAUGAUUCAGUUCUUCUAUAUGAUUCAGUUCUUCUAUGUUCUGCGUGUUAGUAUUGAUGUGAAUGACACGUCUAUAAAAUCUUAGCUACUUUAUAGAGAGAUUUGUUUAUACUAUCAUUUCAAUUUUUUAUUUUUGCAUAUUACAUUUUAUUGGGUAUUGAGUAUUGUUGUGAUGUUAUAGUAUUAGCAAUAUGUUAUUAUUUCAUAAUUAUACUUUUCUAUUUUGAAUAGUUUUAUAUUAAUUUAGCUUCAAUUUUUAUGAUAAUGGAGAUGAAGAAUAAUGAACAAUAUUAAAGAGAAUAUUAGCAACAUCCAACUAUAAGAACUAACUUGAGCAUUACAAGCAUUGUCCCCACUUGUCUUCACCUUUUAAAAAAGGUUAGAUUUUCAAGAAUCUCAACCCAAUAAUUAUGUUUUUUAGGUUGGGUAGCAAAAGUCAUACGGAGAGAGAAAAGUGAUAAAAAAAAGUUCACCAAUCAAAUGGAAAUAGAUUGUUAUUAUUACUGGAUUAACUUGGUCAUUAGAUUUAAAAUAGUACAUAAUAUCAUUGUGGAAUUUGCAUGCUUGGAAGGAAGAAGUCUUGUUCUUUCCAAAGGAAUUAAUGGGAGACAGGGCAAAAUGCCUGUAAGGAAAUGAUAGUAACUUUUGAAAAAGUGGGCUAUAAAGUAAAGGAGAAUUGUGAAAAAUUAAUAUUUGGUCCAUAUAAUUUUCAUAAUUGAUAGAAAUGAUAUAAGAUGUUAAAAGACCAACAUAUCUUUCAAAUUUCUAUACAUUACCUUUUUAAUUUCUAAAGUUUUACUAAAAAAUUGUACUGACAAUUUUCUUGUUAUGAAUUAAAAUACUUUGCAUUAGUCUAUCUGGAUAAGAAAAAUUAUUAAUAUAAUAUUAAAACUUCAUAUCUUAGUUAUUUUUUUCAAUAAAUUUAUCUUUUUGGAUAUAUAUAUAUAUAAUAGAGUAAAGUGAUAGUCAAUUUUAAAAUUUUUAAAAAUAUGGUUAAUGUAGAAAAUAUAAAAAAUAUUUCAAUGAAAAAUCCCAAAAUUUUUAUCAUUGCUUAUAAUAAGAGCAAAAAGAUUCAAUAUCUUUAAAAAUGAAAAACAAAAAAAACAUUAUUACUUUUUAUUUGACAUAAAAUAGAAAUAUAGAUUGGAAGAAAAAAAAAUUAGAAAUGAGUAAUACUUAAUAGAGAAUAGAAAAGGGAAAAAAAAACACAAAAAAAUUGAAAUUCAGACUUACUUGUACCUAUAUAAGGGUUAAGGGUAUUUUAGGGAUUAAUGAAGAAUAAUAUCUUUUAUCUUAAUUUUCAUACUUUGUUUGGGUCUUGGGCUUAAAUAUGCAUGAUAUAUGGACCAAAUGUUAAUUUUUGGGCCCAACUGGACCCAAAACACAAUUCUCCCAUAAAGUAACGUGAAUUUGAAAUAAUUGAUUUGGAAUCCUAUCACCUAGAAAAUGAUUACUCCUUGGGUUAUAAAUUAAAAUGAAUUUGAAAAAAUUCAUUGGAUUCUCAUUACUUUUUUAAAAGGCUGAAUUUGAGUUGACCCAAAAUAAUUUACUUCCAUCAAAAGUAAAUUAUAAGAAUAAAGGCAAGAAAAAAGAAAAUUGGUAUGCACCAUUUAUCUUUUUACUUUGGAUUGGAUAAAUUUUGUAAAAUCAUAUUUUCCUUUUACUAUAUUUUGUAAUGUUAAUAGCAACUAACUUUCAAAAUAAUGGAAAUUAAUUUGUAUAUAAGCUUAUUUGAGUACUUCCAUAUUUUUUUUAUAAUUGAGAAUUUUUUAAAGAUUUUUUUUAAGUAUUAGCUUUUAUAUUUAUUAUUAUUAUUUUUCAUAAAAUAAUAAAUUGUAAGAAAAGAGGAGAAGAACAAGAAGGAAAAUUUAUAAUUUUUUAAUUUAUUUAGAUAUUUAUAAAAAAUAAGAAAAAGAAAAUUAAAUUGUUGAAGCUUCCCAAGCUUUUUGACUGUUAUCUAACAAAUAAUAAUAAUAAUAAUAAUAAGGAACUUCCUUAAAGCAAUGUUAUCAAAAAAUAGAAUCACAUUAGUUAAGCUCAUUUUUUUCUAAUAUAAUAAUAGCAAUUAUAGUUACUUUUUUUUUUUUUUAUUCAACUUAUUUUAAAUAGGGCGUGUGCUUAUGCAAUUAUAUUUAUUUAUUUUUCUAGAAAGAUUAAUAUAUUUAUUUAUUUGUUUAUUGUGGUUAUCUCAAAAUGAUGUCUUAUUUUCUAUUUAAAUAUUGGUAUAUAUGAAAGAUAAAGUUUAAGUAUUCAUUAAUUACGAAUUCAAUUCAACUUACUCCAAUCCAAAUUUUACCCAUAUAACCCAAAAAGCUUGUCUAAUAUGUUAGACCCGUCCAAAUUAUAGUCUUAAUUUUAAAGUCAUAUUGAUUGGUUCAUCCGUUUAUAAAAACAUAGUUAAAUAAAAUUACUUGAAAAUGAAAUUAGUAUUUAGGGCAUUGUAUCAUAAACUUGUACAAAAAAUCCUUCUGAGAAUUAGAUUUUGGUACAGUUAGAUUUUGAAGAGUUUCAAGCCAAUCAAUUUUUUUACUUUUUAUUUUUGAAAGUAGGGUAGAUUGGAAUUUUGUUAUUUUUCAUUAAAAAAACUAAAAAGGCAAAGUGAAUGCAAUACAUUAAAAAAAAAAAAAAAACUUAAUCCUAAUUAUGAAAUCUAAACCUAAUAUUUAUUUAUUUGAAAUGGGUUAGGCGUUGGUGAAUAAUUGAACAUCAUGUGAAGGUUUUUAAUUCAACAUGUAGUGAUAUUGUCAUUUGCCCCCUUCUUUUCUAACAAAAUAAUUUGAUGGAGUUUAAUCCCGAUUAUGCUCGUUAGUAAUCUUAUAAUAUCUCAUAUUUGUGAUCAAAACAUAAAUAUUCAUAUUCAAAGUUUGUAUGAUACGAGAAAAUGAGAAGAAUUAUGGAGACAUGUUUUAAAGUUAGGAACCAAAAAAGAGUAAUUUGAAUUUGUAUUCUUGCUUUUCGUAAUAAUCAAUCCAUGCAUUGAACUCAUGUGUUCAAGAUUAAACUAAUCUAACCCUAUGUCCAAUCCAAACUAUCCGAUCCAAGCUCAACUUCUUAUCAUUCCCAUGACACUCAAAAGCAACAAUAUCAUAUACAAAUAAAUUGAAAUUUAUGUAAAAUAUAUAUCACGUUCAAAUUGGCCUUAGGUUGUCCAAAACCCAAACCCAAAGCCCAGUUUAAUUUAAUUAGAGCAAUAAUAAAAUAAUUCCAAUAAUUACAAUUAAUUUAUAGCAAUUAAAUAAAAAUUUCACAGGAGUAAAAAUUAUUUCCAAUAAAUAUAUUAUAAAGUCAUGUAAAAGUUGCUAGUUACCCCUCUAGUAAAAAGUAUACAUUUAUUUAUCCCACUUUAAAAAAAAUGAUAGUAGUGAAAUCCAUGAACAAAAUUUAAUUAUCAUAUUCUUAAAAAGCACCCAAGAUCCCAAACCAUGAAUUAUAUUUAGGGAUGAUAAUAGGGUGGGUUUAAGACGAGUCGCCCCAUCCCAACCCCGUCCCAUUUAUUUAAAAUAAUUUUCAUCCCCGUCUCAUUUAAAAAAUUAAAUUGGACAGGGCGGGCCGGGAUGGGUAUAAGCAACUCCCUGCCCCGCCUUCGUUUAAUUUUUUUUUUUAAAUUACUUUUAAUAUUUUAAUUACAUUAAAGUAAAUAUAUUUUAUAAAUAAUUAAAUUAUUACAUUUUUUAUGACUUAUUUUAUUAAAAAAUACUUUAUUAUUAUCUAUAGUAGAAUAAAAAUUAAUUUAAUUUAAUUUUAAAAAAUAAUUUUAUAUACAAUUGUAGGGUGGGAUUGGACAAGGCAAUACCUGAACUCAUCCCAAACUCAUCUUGGGUUUAAAAAAAAAAUUUCAAAUCCGUUUAGUUAAAAUUCAAACAUGUUCCAUUAGGGGCAGGAUGGGUACUCGAAAAACCCGUCCCAUUGUCAUUCCUAAUUAUAUUACACCUCUGUGAUCAAAUAAAUAAAAAGAUACGUUUAAUCACAUAUUUAAUUAAUUUUUUAAAAAUAAAAGAAGUUGGGUCGUUGGACCAAAGCACAAAAGUGAGAAGCGCAUAUCUGAGCCCAUUAAAUUUGGGCUUUAACAUUGCCAGUAUGUUAGCCUACAACAAAUUCAAACUCCAAACUCCAAACUCCACCGUCAGAUCCCCAGGCACCAUCUAUGCGUAUCUCUCCCUCUAAACAAUCUCCUCCAUUUUCACGCCAUGCAUAAAGCAACAAUCCCGAGAGAAAAUAGUCUCUCAUUGCUAUAUAUAUUGUCGGAGACUGAUUUUCUUGCCUAAUUUGGAUUUUAAAAUUUCAUGCAUCUCAUUUUGAUCACAAACCUGAGAAAAGCCCCAUAUAAAAAUAACACAAGUAUUACAAAAUAAAUAAGUAUUAAAAAAAAAAAAAGAAUUAUGAACAAAUCUCAAUAUCAAAUAUGAACAACAAACACUAGAUUUAGUGGUUCACAAUAAUUUUAGGUAUGUACGUCAACAUAAGAACGAUAAAGUACAACAAACUAGAGGAGUAGAAUAGAAUACUCAUUUUUCAUCCAAAAUGAUUCCAUCAAAGUAACAAAUUAUGCCAACCUUAUCAUUGAAGAAACCUAAAAGAACAAGUACUAGAAAGGUUGUGAGGAGAUUUGAGCAAUAAUUGUAGUGAACGAAAGUUGAUACUAGAUUUGAAUUCUACUUCUAUUUAAAAGCUAAAUGCACUUCCAUGGCAUGCAAAGAGAUUCCAAAAGCUUUAAAUAAACUGAAUGGUUCUUUGAAGCAUGAUUGAAGCUUCUAAAAGUGUCAAAAAUAGAGAUUCACAAAGAAUUUUGAAUUCAUUCUUCCUUUCUUAAUCAAACCCUCUCUAGGUCCAUAAGUUGUACUAAAGAGCUUUUGAAUGUCAACAAUGAAUGACAAGGUUAUGAAAUAUGAGGUUAUCUUCCACUAAAAAUCAUUCCAAGGAUAGUUUGAUUAAACUUGAUCCACACCUAUAAUGCCCCUAUAAAAAAAAAAAAAAAAUAGAAUUGAGUCAGUUUAAGAAUGAUAGCUCCUAUAUUGACAUGUAAACGGUACCAUAAAAACACUCGUAACACACCUUUCAUGCACAUCUUGAACAUGUAGAUCAAUCAUCCAAGAUUGGCUUCUCCCACUAUUUCAAACUAUUGAAGGUUUUGGACAUACAAAGCACUCCUUUAGGAAACUUUACAAGUGCCAUCAUAGAUCUUCUGCUCUUGAGAUACUUGAGUUUGAGGAAUACAAAUAUAAGGAGCAUCCCCAAAUCCCUCAGGAACCUACGGCACCUUGAGACCUUGGAUCUUAAGCAAACUCUGGUAAAAGAGCUACCCAAAGCAGUCUACAACUUGAUAAACUUCGCCACUUGCUGGUUUAUGCCUACAAUAUGGGAAGUGUUGUAACUUUUGACGCCGUUUAAGGGUUCGCUGUACCGAGAAAGAUCGGAGCAAUGAAGAACCUGCAAAAGCUAUCAUUUGUAAAGGCGAGAAGGCAGAACAGAAUGAUACAGGAGCUCAAAAAUCUGACAAAGCUGAGGAAGCUGGGCAUUGUAGAACUAGCAGAAGAAGAUGGCAACAGCUUGUGUCACUCAAUUGAGAAGAUGCCGGAUCUCCUUUCCUUGGAUGUUACCUCCCUUAGUAAGGGGGAGCCUCUGGAGCUUGAUCCAAUGGCCAACCCCCGCGUCUUCUUCAACGCCUGUAUCUCAAAGGGCACUUGCAAAGGUUGCAAAGUGGGUAUCUUCUCUUCAUGACCUGGUGAGAAUACGCCUAAAAUGGUCCUUAUUGUCCCAAGACAACCCAAUUGAAGCUCCUCAAGAUCUCCCAAACCUGAUGGAGCUGCAGUUACUUGAUGCAUACACUGGAACCCAGUUGGACUUCAACUCGGGAAAAUUUCAGAAGCUUAAGAUAUUAGACCUUGAGCAAUUGAAACAGCUGAGGUUUAUCAUAAUGGAAGAUGGCACAUUGCCUUGCCUACAAAAGCUGAUCAUAAGGCAAUGCAAUGAGCUGAAACAUGUCCCCGUAGGUAUUGACGGGCUCCAUCAUCUUAAUGAGCUGCACCUCUGCGAUAUGCCUGAGAAAUUCGUGGCCCAGCUGAAGAAAAGAGGCGGUGAACUUCGCCAUUUGCUUCACCGUUGUUUGCAUAUUCUCUCAUAUCAACAGGGCCGGUUGGUGGAAGAUCUUUCAUGACCAUAUCUGAUACAUCUGUGACAUGCACCAGUGGAUCAAGAAUCAGGUUUGUAUAACUACAUGGAUUCAUCGCUUGCUUCUUUUGGGUUCCUCAAAAUGCAUUGUUGUCAAUUACUUUACAAGCAAUAUUACUGCAUGUUCCUAGGAAAUCAUGGUGGGAUAUCUAGCAUUUAUACAUAUCAAGCAUCAAAUAUCUGUGGAGUCGUAUUUGAAACUGCCAUUGUUGAAACUACCCCGAGACUCGGUACAAGACAUAGUCGGAUUAUGGUCAGGUGUCAAGCCCCCGAGACUUCCAAUUGAUUUUUAUGCUUCUUGUAUUAAUAAUAGUGUUGGAUUGUAAGGACUGAAUUGUUUUUAUUGUGUUUGGCUUAAAAUGUCGGGAUCAAGUUCCACGUUAAGCUUGUGGGGAUAGCCAUGGACGUAGAAAACGAAUUGAUUAUCAAACCACUCUAAAAAUCUCCUCCUUCUUUUUUAUUUUAUUUUAUUUUUAUUUUUAUUUUUAUUUUCUAUUUGUGUAUGGUUUAAUUAAUUAACAAAUAAUGGCCCUAUGCCUACGUGAAAUUGACUUGUGAAUUUUUAAUAUUAUGUUUUUAUGAUUAUUUUAGAUGAUACUAAAUAUAAUAGUGAUUUGCUUUAAUUUUUAGUUUGUUGAAUGCAUUCUCAUCCAAUUGUAUUUAUAUAUUUUCUCUAAAAUUUUUAUUAUUUUAAAAUUAUUCUAUACUUUUUUAAUUAAUCAAGCAGUUUAUUGUGCCUACAGUCUGGUCUAAUUGAAUAAAAUAUGAUUUAUUAAUGUCAACUCAGCCCAAUCAAUUCUUUCACAGAGGAACAAUGGUUUAUUAAUGUGCAAAUUAAUAGCGUUUUAUAAAUAAAAUAUUCUUAAUUUCCUCUACAAAAACAAAUUAGUGUUAAAUAAACCGAUAAUAAUAUUUUUAUUGGGAUUUUUCAAUGGCAUUAUAAAGUCACCAAUCAAUUAAUAAAAAAUGGUCAUUGAAGUCACCAUGAUUUAUUUAUUUAUUUAUUUUUACCUCGAUAAUGAUCUUAAUUAUCGUUUUUUCUGGAUUAUUUGAGUAUUAAAUUUUUUACAAAAGUAACUUUUAAUCUUUUUUUUUACUUGAAAAUUUUUAUUAAAAAAAAUUCUAUAUAGGGCAUAUAAUUAAGAUUAGGUUUAUUAAUAAAUGAAAUGUUUUUCUUAGCUGCAAUCAUGUUGACCCAUAAAUUUGUAUGAGAAAAUUUGAAUUUCUUUAUUUUCUUUUACAUGACCCAAAGGUUAAUAUAAAUUGUCUUGAAGUAGCAGUAAAGUGAUCAUUUUAAGUACCACAAAUACUUGUGAUUUGGAAAUAAUCAAAGUCUUCCCAAUGGGGACGACCCUAGGUUCCAAUACAUUAGCACUGAUUUCUUUGAGUUGUAUAUGAUGCUUCUUUUCAUGUUAUUUACGACAUUGACUACGGGAAUCCCUUGCACACGCAAGUGGCAUUCAUUAAAAGUUAAGACCACUACUUUCAAGGUCCUAUGUCCAGCUUCUGAGUAACAACAGUAUGAUUGAGUUCAACAACAAAUUUGAGAAUUUUUUUUUUAACCCAAAGUGGGUUUGGGUACAAUGUUGUCCCAUCGAAAUGAUAAAAAUAUCGAUAAUAACGGAUAUAUUAGUAUUUCGAUUUUAUAGAUAUAUUGAAGAUAUAUGUUGGAUAUUUAAAAAAAAAAUAUCGAUAGACUUAAAAUUGAUCAAAAUUCAUAAAAAUGUUAAAAAAAAUCACGUAUAAAUAUAAUUAAAAGUAUAACAAACAUUUUAAAAUUAUUUUAUUGAAAAAUUUAAUUUAUGUAUAAUAUGAUUUGUCAUAUUUGAUAAUAAUAUCAUAUGCGUCGAUAAAAAAAUAUGAAUUUUAUAAGUGUACAUUUAUUAUUAAAUUGCAUAAAAUAUUAUUGCAUAAUAAUAUUAUGAUAUUUGAUUAUAAUAUAUUUAAUUUUAAAAUAUAUUUAAUAUUAAAAUUGUGAUCCAUUUAAUUCAAUUAUAUUAAAUAAUAUAAAAUAAAUGAUGAUAUAUAUACCGUUGUGAUAUUUAAUAAUAAUUUUUAUAACUUGAAAACAUACUUUAUGUAUAUUAAUCUAAUUUGGAUGUAUUUAAUGACAAAAAAAUAAUGAUAAUUUGUAUAAGUAUUUUUUAUUUUAAAAUUUUGACAAUUUUAUUCAAAAAUAUAUAUUUAUUUUAUAUGUAAUUAUUAUAUAAAAGUCACAAUAACUAAAAUUAAUUCAUUUAGAAUAUUUUUUUUAUUAAUUUAUAAUAUAUAUGUAUAUAUUAUAAAUUAAUCUUGAAAGAUGGUUGUCCGGCAGGUGUUGGUGCCUUGGUGGGCGAUCUAUAUAAAUAAUAUGUAAAUUUAAUCAACAACAGCAUGGUUGCCUGGCUGGUGUUGGUGGGCGAGCGUGAGCCUGAGGGUCGUUCGAAUAUCCUUGGUUCCAUUCUUCUUGAUUUACCUUUGCCUUUCAAAAAUUCUAAUUCUUGCAAUCCCACAUCGGUUCAUGACACCAAAAAGGUGUAUUUAAACAUUGGAGUGGUGGAGGUCUCACUUGUGUUCAGAGCACGUUGGGCCCAAGCUGCAUUUUGGGCCUAAACAUUGGGCCAGGGCCAAAAUUAAGAGUUUUAGGGGCAAAAGGAAUUGAGAAUGAUGACGUGGCAGCGAUAUCGUGAAAAUAUCGAGAAAAAUGGCGAUUUUAAUGGAAAUAUCGCCGAUAUUUCCUCUAUAAGGUUAUAUUUAAUAUUAAAUAAAAAUGAUUUUAAUUAAUUUUUGACUUUUUUUAACAUAUAUAAAAUAUUAUUUUUUUAUAAAAAUAAAUUAUAAAUAUUUAUAAUAUUUAUUUAUUUGUAAACUAUAUUUAUUUUUAAUACAAUUUAAAAGUAAAAAAUUAAAAAAUAAAUAAAUAAACAGAUAUGGUGAAUAUGAUAAUCGUUGAUUUUCAUGAUUCUUAGUAAAAAUAAAAGAAAAUAAAAACGAAAAAAAGAAGAAGAAAAACAUAUAGAUUUAAUGUGUUCAAUAGAUUACGUACACGGAAUAGGGAAUAAAACUUUCAUUAUCUUUGAAAUUAGGGUUAUAUAUUAAAAUUUUAUUAUUAUCAUUAUCAUUUAUAUUUUAUUUUAUUUUUAAAUAAAUUUAUAUUUUUAAUAUUUUAAAAUAAAAACAUUCAAAUUAAAAAGAUAAAUAUAAAAAAUUUAAAAGUGAAGUAGUAAUUUUUUAGAAUGGAAUUAAUGAAAUAGAUUAUGAUUUUUUUAAUAUUUAUAUUUUUUAUAUUUAAUUAUCAUAUAAAUAAUAUAAAAAAGACUUAUUAAAAAAUUAUAAUAUUAAAAUUUUAUAUUUUUAUUAAUCAAUUAAAUAUAAUUUAAAAUAAAAUAAUUAAAAUUAAGUUUUUUUAAUGAUGAAGCUUAACAAAUUUAAAUUGAAUAUAUAUUAUCAAAGAGCAUCAUAAUGGUAAAUAUUCGAUAUUUCCCAUAGUGAUUUAAUCCAAAUAAAGAAGGAUAAUUAAUAAUUAUUUAUAUAGAGAGAGGAAAAUUGUUUCAUGAUUUGUUUUUUUUUUUUUUAUCUCUACUAAAUAUAAAAAUCAACCCAAUUCUCUCACUCGGGAAGGCCCUAUUUUCCUCUGCCACUGUCAAUCCUCGCAGGUACUAAUCUAAUCAUGUUAUUAUUAUUAUUAUUAUUAUUAUUAUUAUUAUUAUUUUUGCAACCCCGUUUGAUCCCCAAGAAAAUCCAUCCCCCAUUCGAUUUCCGGGAAAAUUCAUCCUCGUUUGAUUUCCGAGAAAAUCCAUGCAAAACCCCCCAAAGAAAUCCAAAAAAAUUGCUUUUUCUUUGCUCCCUGUGUUUUCUGGAUCUGUUCUAGGGGUCUCUUUGCUUUUGUGCCAUUGGAUUUAAAUUUCACGAAGCCUAAAUCCACGAUUUUUGAGCCAGACUGAAAAAAACAACCUUUGCCUGCAAAUCCACGAUUUAAGAGUUAUAUUUAGUAUUUUUGCAGUCAGUGAAUGUGCCGCCACAUGUUUGAAUGAUUGGAACUUCAAAAACCAGUAACUUGUUUUUGCCAAAGCAAAGGAUUGAAUAUUUCCUUGGUGGAUUUUUGGGAACUGAUCAUGCACCCACAAGAAAUCUCCAUCAAGCAUGAAGUUGUCUUAUUCGAAGGUUGACCCUUGGUGCAUGGGGUCAUUCAAUAAGGUUAAUAAAUUGUCUGGAGGGAGCAGUAAAUGAUAACAUAUAGCCGUGUGCUUGGAAAUAUUCGAAGUCUUCCCAAUGGGGAAGACUCUAGGAUCCAAUACAAUCCUGGUUUUCUUGAUUUAUAUCUAAUGCUUGUGGUUGUAUUAUUUGUGUCAUUGACUCCUGAAGUCUUUUGGAAGUAUACUUGGAUGUGGCAUUCAUCAGUAGUUAAAAUCAUUGUUUUCAGGGCCCCUACGCCAAGCUCCCAAGCAACAGCAAGGUGAAGAGAAAGAGCAUGAACCCAGAUCUAGCUGGAGGGAUGGCAGACGGGGCUGUGUCGUUUCUUCUUCAAAAACUUGAAGCUUUUGCAAGUACAGAAUGGAACUUGCAGGAAAAUAUCAGGAAUGGAGUCCGUGAGUUACAAAGGGAGCUGUGGAGAAUAGAAGCCAUGAUGAGAGAUGCUGAUGCAAAGAAAGAUUAUGAUAACCAAUUCAACGUGUGGAUUCAAGAAGUUCGCACAGAAGCUUAUGCCAUUGAGGAUGUUCUUGACCUGUUCAGACUCCACUGGGAUCAAGAAUCAGUGUGGCGCCACUUGAAAAUGUGGCACUCCAUUAGCAACCUGAUACAGGAUAUUAACACAAGGCUCGCGAUCAUUAAGCAGACAAAGGAGAGGUACCAGAUCAUUAAGGAGAUAAAUGAGAGGUAUCCGAUGAUGGUCCCCACCAAUUCAGUUAGUUCGGAAACCAACACAUACCAUAAUGUGAGAGCAGCUCCUUUGAUCCUCGGCUGGGGCAAUAACACCAUGGGCAUUGAUGAGCCUAAAAGGAAGCUGGUUUCUUGGGCAUCAAAGUCGAAUCAGAAACUCAAGGUUAUGUUCCUAGUGGGGAUGGCUGGGUUGGGCAAGACAACGCUUGCCUACCGCGUGUACGAGGAGGUGAAGGAGCACUUUGAUUGCCAUGCCUGGAUCAUUGCUUCAAAGUACCAAACCAUAGAUGAAACCU
rnacentral:lncRNA from 1 species